AUUGAACGCUGCCGGCAGGCCUAACACAUGCAAGUCGAACGAGUGGCGGACGGGUGAGUUAUAUCUGGGAAACUGCCCGAUGGAGGGGGAUAACUACUGGAAACGGUAGCUAAUACCGCAUACCAUCGGAUGUGCCCAGAUGGGAUUAGCUAGUAGGUGGGGUAACGGCUCACCUAGGCGACGAUCCCUAGCUGGUCUGAGAGGAUGACCAGUAACUCGGGAGAGAAGACAGGGUCCAGAAUCCGAAGGGAGACAGCAGUGGGGAUUAUUGCACAAUGGGCGGAAGCCUGAUGCGGGCAUGCGGCGUGUAUGAAGAGGGCCAUCGGGUUGUAAAGGACGUUCAGCGGGGAGGCGUUACCCGCAGAAGAAGCACCGGCUAACUCCGUGCCAGCAGCCGCGGUAAUAC
rnacentral:rRNA from 1 species